rnacentral:misc_RNA from 1 species
UGUGAAAACCACGUUUUCAAUUUUAUUCAUUCAUUGUUUCAUUCAUUCAUUACAGUGCAAGCAACAAACAAAAGUUAUCUUUUUUUUAUAACAGGUUUUCCCGCAUGCAUCUCCAUUCAAUUACAGUCGGGAGACUAUCACAGCACAUUUUCAUUCACCAGUGGUUAGCUUACCAGAUGUGCAGACCAGCCCAAACAAACGUCGUGUUGCUGUAAAAGCUAAAGUCAAAGAAAUCAAAGAUAUGGUUGUAGGACCACACUACAAAAGAAGCUUGGUAGUUCUAACAGAUGGGUUUGAUAGAACAGUAGAAAUGAAGUUGUGGGGCAAACAUGCCGAAAGUUGUACCCUCACUGCCAAUGAGGUUGUUUUAGCCAAACCACUAGAAGUCAGUUUGUUUAACAAGAACAAGCCAAGUCUGGAUACCACUCAAGAUACCUCUAUAGAGAUAGAAGACAUGAAUCAAGAUGAAAACCCAAAACCCGAAAAUGUUAAAGUCAUUGCAUUUACUGACAAUGAAAUACUUACUGAAGAUGGCUGUGCAUUGAAAAAUGAUUUGCCGUUCUCGGUGAAACUGACCAUCACUGGAAAUGCAAUUACCGAAGUUCAUGAAGAUUAAGAAGCACUUUUUCACAGGGAAGCCAUAGAACUGUUAUUACAAACCUUAUUGGUCCCUUGAAGAGCUGCAACAAAAAUGGCAGAUCAAAUUUUUUUGGCGAUGUUUUUGAUCUGAAUAUUACAAGUAAAUAAAACUUGUUACAUUGUUGUAUUCUGAACAUAAGUAAAUAACUGUUGCUACAUUGUUCUAUUUCCGAACAUUACAAGUAAAUAACACUUGUUACAUUGCAUUUCCGAACAACAUUACAAGUAAAUAAGUUACAUUUCUGAAUAAAUAUAAUAUUUAC